rnacentral:rRNA from 1 species
UAACUUGGGAUACGCGAAAGAAACGGCAGAACUUGAAAGUGCGAGAGGUGUACGGAACUCAUGGUGUAGGGGUGAAAUCCGUUGAUAUCAUGGGGAACACCAAAAGCGAAAGCAGUACACUGGCGCAUAUUUGACACUGAAGCACGAAAGCGUGGGUAGCGAAUGGGAUUAGAUACCCCAGUAGUCCACGCCCUAAACGAUGAUCUCUCGCUAUUCGGAGUAUCGACCCUCUGAGUGGCUUAGCUAACGCGUUAAGAGAUCCGCCUGGGAAGUACGGCCGCAAGGCUAAAACUCAAAGGAAUAGACGGGGACUUGCACAAGCAGUGGAUUAUGUGGUUUAAUUCGAUGGUAAACGAAGAACCUUACCAGGGUUAGAAAUCCUAGUGAAAGCCCGAGGAAACUCGGGGCCUCG